rnacentral:rRNA from 1 species
CACGUAGGGCGCAAGCGUUGUCCGGAAUUAUUGGGCGUAAAGAGCUCGUAGGCGGUCUGUUGCGUCCGCUGUGAAAACUCGGGGCUUAACCCCGAGCCUGCAGUGGAUACGGGCAGACUAGAGGUAGGUAGGGGAGAAUGGAAUUCCCGGUGUAGCGGUGAAAUGCGCAGAUAUCGGGAGGAACACCGGUGGCGAAGGCGGUUCUCUGGUCCUUAACUGACGCUGAGGCGCGAAAGCAUGGGGAGCGAACGGG